rnacentral:rRNA from 1 species
AGCGGCGGACGGGUGAGUAAUGCUUGGGAACAUGCCUUGAGGUGGGGGACAACAGUUGGAAACGACUGCUAAUACCGCAUAAUGUCUACGGACCAAAGGGGGCUUCGGCUCUCGCCUUUAGAUUGGCCCAAGUGGGAUUAGCUAGUUGGUGAGGUAAUGGCUCACCAAGGCGACGAUCCCUAGCUGGUUUGAGAGGAUGAUCAGCCACACUGGGACUGAGACACGGCCCAGACUCCUACGGGAGGCAGCAGUGGGGAAUAUUGCACAAUGGGCGCAAGCCUGAUGCAGCCAUGCCGCGUGUGUGAAGAAGGCCUUCGGGUUGUAAAGCACUUUCAGUCAGGAGGAAAGGUUAGUAGUUAAUACCUGCUAGCUGUGACGUUACUGACAGAAGAAGCACCGGCUAACUCCGUGCCAGCAGCCGCGGUAAUACGGAGGGUGCGAGCGUUAAUCGGAAUUACUGGGCGUAAAGCGUACGCAGGCGGUUUGUUAAGCGAGAUGUGAAAGCCCCGGGCUCAACCUGGGAACUGCAUUUCGAACUGGCAAACUAGAGUGUGAUAGAGGGUGGUAGAAUUUCAGGUGUAGCGGUGAAAUGCGUAGAGAUCUGAAGGAAUACCGAUGGCGAAGGCAGCCACCUGGGUCAACACUGACGCUCAUGUACG